UGCGCAGGCGGUUAUAUAAGACAGAUGUGAAAUCCCCGGGCUCAACCUGGGAACUGCAUUUGUGACUGUAUAGCUAGAGUACGGCAGAGGGGGAUGGAAUUCCGCGUGUAGCAGUGAAAUGCGUAGAUAUGCGGAGGAACACCGAUGGCGAAGGCAAUCCCCUGGGCCUGUACUGACGCUCAUGCACGAAAGCGUGGGAGCAAACA
rnacentral:rRNA from 1 species